CACUUGGUAGCACAUGGUGUGCGCCUGCUGAAUGUAUUUACUAUCGCUCACCGGUUGUUAGCAGGAGGUCCCGGUUUGACUCCGGGUCGGGUGA